rnacentral:rRNA from 1 species
GACAGAGGGUGCAAACGUUGUUCGGAAUUAUUGGGCGUAAAGAGCGUGUAGGCGGCCACACAGGUCUGCUGUGAAAACUCGAGGCUCAACCUCGAGCUGUCGGUGGAAACCGUGUGGCUAGAGUCCGGAAGAGGAGAGUGGAAUUCCCGGUGUAGCGGUGAAAUGCGCAGAUAUCGGGAAGAACACCCGUGGCGAAGGCGGCUCUCUGGGACGGUACUGACGCUGAGACGCGAAAGCGUGGGGAGCGAACAGG